UGCUUUCUUACAUUACAAAUAAACACAUUUCUCUCUCUCUUUCUCUCUCUCUCUCUCUCUCUCUCUCUCUCUCUCUCACUGAGCUCGAUCUCCUUGGGCUGGUCGAAUUCGGUUUCUGAUCUCCGAAGAUUGAUCUCGGUAGAGGCUAGUGCACUGUCCAAUCUGCAAAAAUGCCUCUCAGACUCGAAAUCAAGCGAAAGCUUGCGCAAAGAUCAGAAAGAGUAAAAUGUGUGGAUCUACAUCCAACAGAACCAUGGAUUCUGGCGAGUUUAUACUCUGGAACUGUCUGUAUCUGGAACUACCAAUCUCAGACCAUGGCCAAAUCUUUUGAGGUUACUGAGUUACCAGUUAGAUCAGCCAAGUUUAUUGCACGCAGACAAUGGGUUGUUGCCGGAGC